rnacentral:rRNA from 1 species
CAGUCGCCGCGGUAAUACGGAGGAUCCGAGCGUUAUCCGGAUUUAUUGGGUUUAAAGGGUGCGUAGGCGGCUCAUUAAGUCAGGGGUGAAAGACGGUAGCUUAACUAUCGCAGUGCCUUUGAUACUGAUGAGCUUGAAUACACUUGAGGUAGGCGGAAUGUGACAAGUAGCGGUGAAAUGCAUAGAUAUGUCACAGAACACCAAUUGCGAAGGCAGCUUACUAAAGUGAGAUUGACGCUGAGGCACGAAAGCGUGGGGAUCAAACAGGAUUAGAUACCCCUGUAGUCCCUGUCUCUUAUAC